AAUCAACGCUGGCGGCGUGCCUAGCACAUGCAAGUCGAACGAGAAAGCGGGGGCAACUCCGUGAGUAAAGUGGCGACCGGGUGAGUAACACGUGACCAAUCUACCCUCGAGUGGGGGAUAACUACGGGAAACCGGAGCUAAUACCGCAUAACAUCUUUGGAACCCAGGUUAUGAAGAUCAAGGGAGCAAUGCGCUUGAGGAGGAGGUCGCGGCUGAUUAGCUAGUUGGCGGGGUAAUGGCCCACCAAGGCGAAGAUCGGUAGCCGGCCUGAGAGGGCGCACGGCCACACUGGGACUGAAACACGGUCCAGACUCCUACGGGAGGCAGCAGUGGGGAAUUUUUCGCAAUGGGGGAAACCCUGACGCAGCAACGCCGCGUGGAGGAUGAAGUCCCUUGGGACGUAAACUCCUUUCGACCGGGAAGAUGAUGACGGUACCGGAUGAAGAAGCACCGGCUAACUCUGUGCCAGCCGCCGCAGUAAGAC
rnacentral:rRNA from 1 species